rnacentral:rRNA from 1 species
AACGAACGCUGGCGGCAUGCCUAACACAUGCAAGUCGAACGAGACCUUCGGGUGUAGUGGCGCACGGGUGCGUAACGCGUGGGAACCUGCCCUUAGGUUCGGAAUAACUCCCCGAAAGGGGUGCUAAUACCGGAUAAUGUCUUCGGACCAAAGAUUUAUCGCCUUUGGAUGGGCCCGAGUUGGAUUAGCUAGUUGGUAGGGUAAAAGCCUACCAAGGCGACGAUCCAUAGCUGGGUUGAGAGGAUGGUCAGCCACACUGGGACUGAGACACGGCCCAGACUCCUACGGGAGGCAGCAAUGGGGAAUAUUGCACAAUGGGCGAAAGCAUGAUCCAGCAAUGCCGCGUGAGUGAUGAAGGCCUUAGGGUUGUAAAGCUCUUUUACCCGGGAUGAUAAUGACAGUACCGGGAGAAUAAGCUCCGGCUAACUCCGUG